AUGGAGUAGCAUCAUCCCAAUCUAUGGAUGACUCCUGCCACGAUGUUCUUACCAGACAAGCAACAGCUCUUGUAUUGACUGCAAGAGAGAAACAUCGUCUUUCACAGAGUGGUGUGAAUGAUGUCGUUGCAGCAUUACAACAGUAUCAGGCAUCGUUGGUCAAUAAUCUGAGAAGUCAGGUACAAAAGGUUUUCCAGCAGCAUCAUGGAAGUGGACUUGAAAAAGAUGUUUUGGCAGUCUUCGACCAGAUUGAGGAUCCAUUUGCCUCUGUUUCAACAACAUACAGGCAGGAUGAUGUGAUAAAGAGAAAUUUCAAUUUUGUGGAGUCCGAGGAGGUUUGUGUUGGGUAUACUGCUGUCAUGGGGAAAAAAAGGGAAAAAAAGAUUCCUCACUACUGUGCCCAAAUGUUUUCAUUAUGUUCCGCUUGUCAGAAGUUUGGAGCAGUUAUUGUCCCAUCCAAGAGUUUUGGCAUUGAUAGAUGAGCAGAAAAAUUUGAGAAAUGAGUAUUUAUAUGAUAUCAUAGAUGGAGAACUCAUGAAGUCUCACCGUUUAUUUUCUGCACACCCCUCUGCCUUACAGAUUAUCCUUUACUCAGAUGAAAUUGAAAUUUGUAACCCACUUGGGUCUCAUGCCUCCAAAAAUAAGUUGGUAAUGUUCUAUUAUACUUUGGGAAACAUUAAUCCUAAAUAUCGAUCAAAACUACCUGC
ensembl:lncRNA